rnacentral:rRNA from 1 species
UACAGAGGGUGCGAGCGUUAAUCGGAAUUACUGGGCGUAAAGCGUGCGUAGACGGUUAUUUAAGUCGGGUGUGAAAGCCCCGGGCUCAACCUGGGAAUUGCAUUCGAGACUGAAUAGCUAGGGUACGGUAGAGGGAAGCGGAAUUUCCGGUGUAGCGGUGAAAUGCGUAGAUAUCGGAAGGAACAUCAGUGGCGAAAGCGGCUUCCUGGACCAGUACCGACGUUCAGGCACGAAAGCGUGGGAG